UACGUAGGUGACCAGCGUUGUCCGGAUUUACUGGGCGUAAAGAGCGCGCAGGCGGUCGUUCAAGUCGAGUGUGAAAGCCCCCGGCUCAACUGGGGAGGGUCAUUCGAUACUGAUCGACUUUGAAGGCAGGAGAGGGAAGCGGAAUUCCCGGUGUAGUGGUGAAAUGCGUAGAUAUCGGGAGGAACACCAGUGGCGAAGGCGGCUUCCUGGCCUGUUCUUGACGCUGAGGCGCGAAAGCUGAGGGGAGCAAACGGG
rnacentral:rRNA from 1 species